rnacentral:tRNA from 1 species
ACCUAAAUAGCUUAUUUAGAGUAUGACAUUGAAGAUGUUAGGGAAAUAGUUUUAUUUUUAGGUA